rnacentral:rRNA from 1 species
UGGGGAAUAUUGCACAAUGGAGGGAACUCUGAUGCAGCGACGCCGCGUGAGUGAUGAAGGAAUUCGUUUCGUAAAACUCUGUUCUAUGGGAAGAAAAGGACUGUACCAUAGGAGAAAGCUCCGGCUAAAUACGUGCCAGCAGCCGCGGUAAUACGUAUGGAGCGAGCGUUGUCCGGAAUUAUUGGGCGUAAAGGGUGCGCAGGCGGCUUUACAAGUUGGAUGUGAAAUAUUGUGGCUCAACCACAAACGUGCAUCCAAAACUGCAAAGCUUGAGUUAAGGAGAGGUAAGUGGAAUUCCUGGUGUAGCGGUGGAAUGCGUAGAUAUCAGGAGGAAUACCGGCGGCGAAGGCGACUUACUGGACUUAAACUGACGCUAAGGCACGAAAGCGUGGGGAGCAAACAGG